rnacentral:tRNA from 1 species
GAGGGUGUAGCUCAGUGGUGGAGCGCAUGCUUAGCACACGUGAGGUCCUGGGUUCAAUUCCCAGUCCCUUUG